rnacentral:rRNA from 1 species
UUUAUUAAAAACAUGGCCUUUUGAUUAUGAUUUAAGGUCAGACCUGCCCACUGAAGAUUUAAAUGGCUGCAGUAUUUUGACUGUACAAAGGUAGCAUAAUCAUUUGUUUUUUAAUUGAAAGCUUGUAUGAAAGGUUCGAUGAGAAAAUAACUGUCUCUGAAAGAAUUAAUUAGAAUUUUAUUUUUAAGUUAAAAAGCUUAAAUGYUUAUAGAAGACGAGAAGACCCUAUAGAGUUUUAUAUUAAAAAGAAGUUGAUUGGUUUAGUAUUAUUUAAUUGAUUUAUUUUUAUUAUUUGAUUGGGGUGAUUGAAAAAUUAAAAGAACUUUUUUUAUAUUUUUACAUUGAUAUAUGAGAAUUUGAUCCUUUUUUAAAGAUUAGAAGAGUAAAUUACCUUAGGGAUAACAGCGUAAUUUUUUUUUAGAGUUCUAAUCGAAAAAGAAGGUUGCGACCUCGAUGUUGGAUUAAAGAAAAGUCUUGGUGUAGGAGCUUARAUAUUAGGUCUGUUCGACCUUUAAAUCUUUACAUGAUCUGAGUUUAAACCGGCGUGAGCCAGGUC